rfam:Myotis lucifugus cont2.47603, whole genome shotgun sequence.
CAUGCACCGGUGGGGUCCCUCAGCCUGGCCUGCACCCUCUUGCAAUCCGGGAUCCCUAGGGGAUGUCGGAGAACCUGUUUCAGCCUGAUCCCACAGGCCAGGCUGAGGGACCCCACUGGUGCACG